rnacentral:rRNA from 1 species
GAUGAACACUAGCGACAGGCUUAACACAUGCAAGUCGAGGGGCAGCGGGGGUAGCAAUACCCGCCGGCGACCGGCGCACGGGUGAGUAACGCGUAUGCAACUUACCUAUUAGAGGGGGAUAACCCGGCGAAAGUCGGACUAAUACCGCAUGAAGCAGGGGCCCCGCAUGGGGAUAUUUGCUAAAGAUUCAUCGCUGAUAGAUAGGCAUGCGUUCCAUUAGGCAGUUGGCGGGGUAACGGCCCACCAAACCGACGAUGGAUAGGGGUUCUGAGAGGAAGGUCCCCCACAUUGGUACUGAGACACGGACCAAACUCCUACGGGAGGCAGCAGUGAGGAAUAUUGGUCAAUGGGCGCGAGCCUGAACCAGCCAAGUCGCGUGAGGGAUGAAGGUUCUAUGGAUCGUAAACCUCUUUUAUAAGGGAAUAAGGUGCGGGACGUGUCCUGUUUUGUAUGUACCUUAUGAAUAAGGAUCGGCUAACUCCGUGCCAGCCGCCGCGGUAA